rnacentral:rRNA from 1 species
UACGUAGGGGGCAAGCGUUGUCCGGAAUCAUUGGGCGUAAAGCGCGUGUAGGCGGCUGGGUAAGUCCGCUCUGAAAGCCCGGGGCUCAACCCCGGGAGGCGGGUGGAUACUGCUCAGCUCGAGUCCGGAAGAGGAGUGUGGAAUUCCUGGUGUAGCGGUGAAAUGCUCAGAUAUCAGGAGGAACACCAAUGGCGAAGGCAGCACUCUGGGACGGUACUGACGCUGAGACGCGAAAGCGUGGGGAGCAAACAGG